UACAGAGGUCCCAAGCGUUGUUCGGAUUCAUUGGGCGUAAAGGGUGCGUAGGCGGCGCGGUAAGUCGGGUGUGAAAUCUCGGGGCUUAACUCCGAAACUGCAUUCGAUACUGCCGUGCUUGAGGACUGGAGAGGAGACUGGAAUUUACGGUGUAGCGGUGAAAUGCGCAGAUAUCGGGAAGAACACCCGUGGCGAAGGCGGCUCUCUGGGACGGUACUGACGCUGAGACGCGAAAGCGUGGGGAGCGAACAGG
rnacentral:rRNA from 1 species